UACAUAUGUGAUAAUCACACAGAAUGAUGUAGAGGAGCUAAUACUAGGGAAUGUCCACCACUGUUUGUGGAAGUGACAUCAUUCCCAUGGUUCUGUGUGUAGUUCAGUUCACUGACCACCAUCUUGAGUGAAGGAGAUCAUCAGACAAGGAUCGAGCUGCAAAAACACUGGAGGCUUCAUCCUACCCAGAAUGCACAGCAGUCCAAUAAAGCUGCUAAUAAACAAUAUAAAAGGUUAAAUGACACCAUUAAAUUGAUGAUGUCACUGUGAUCAAUUACAACUAAAAACUCUCACCGCAGCUGCAGAGUGAAAUCUCACAAACACUGACCACACCAGAGUCCAGAAGAUAAUCAGGAGUCCCGGCCUCGUGUCCAGCUACACCCUAAAAAAGGCAUGAUGUCAUGGAUCAUUGUGGAUUGAAGGCCCCACUGCGUCCACUCCCCUCUCCUGACCGUCCAUGAGAGAUGAAACCCAGC